rnacentral:misc_RNA from 1 species
CAACUAAAUUUAUAUUAAACUUGAUUUGGUUCUCAUUUUUUGAUAUUGCUAUAGGUAUUGAAAUUAUUAACAGAUUUAUUAAAUAUUAUUAUGACUUAUUGCUUAGCGUUCAUUACCACCACGAUUAUUAACACUGUUAUUACAACGGUGGGAUGAUACGUAGGGCUAAGACAGAAAUGAUAAAAAAGCCCGUUACCAUUUGGAACGGGCUUUUUUGUAUCUACAA